UUUGCACACUCUUCACUCUGCUCCUGCCCACUCUGCUUGUCACCUGCCCCCUGAUAACCCCAUCACUCCUCAAAGAUCCUUAGUGCCUGGAUUUUGUCAUCCAGCCCUGCAGGAUGCUCCCAUUUGUUCUGAGGAAGGCUGUCCCAGACAGAGAGGAGGAGAUGGAGGUAGAUGCAAAGAUUGAUAUGGAGGAGGAGAUGGAGGUGGAUGUGGAUGAGGAGGAAGAGAUGGACGUUGAUAUGGACGAGUCCAUUGAGGACAUGGAUAUUGAUUAAAAAGGUGCGAUGGAGAUCACAGAGACACCACCCUUUUGUAUAUAUGUUCUACAGUUUGUUGUUUUUCUUUAGAAUAUAGAGUUUAGGGCAAUUUUUGACUUCUGUAAAUACGUUUCCCAUAGUUUUGCUAGGUAGGUUUUUCUGUAUAUAUGUUCUAUCGAUUGUUGUUAUUACAAAUAUUCUUACAAUGUAAAUAUCUUCUGUAUUUUUG